GCCCCGGUAGCUAAAUGGUUUAGCACGAAGCUGUUAACUUUGAGUAUGUGGGUUCGAAUCCCACCCGAGGCUCUA
rnacentral:tRNA from 1 species